rnacentral:rRNA from 1 species
CCUACGGGUGGCUGCAGUGGGGGAUAUUGCACAAUGGGGGAAACCCUGAUGCAGCGACGCCGCGUGUGGGAAGACGGUCCUCUGGAUUGUAAACCACUGUCCCCAGGGACGAAGAUGACGGUACCUGGGGAGGAAGCUCCGGCUAACUACGCGCCAGCAGCCGCGGUAAUAGGUAGGGAGCAAGCGUUGUCCGGAAUUACUGGGUGUAAAGGGAGCGUAGGGGGGUUGGAAAGGUGGGGGUUAAAUCUACCGGCUCAACUGGUAGUCGCACUCAAAACUGCUAUUCUUGAGUGAAGUAGAGGCUGGCGGAAUUGCUGGUGUAGCGGUGAAAUGCAUAGAUAUCACGCAGAACUCCGAUUGCGAAGGCAGCUUACUAGGCCAUAACUGACACUGAGGCACGAAAGCGUGGGGAUCAAACAGGAUUAGAUACCCGAGUAGUC